rnacentral:tRNA from 1 species
CGACCGGGUUGGGGAUGCUGACGGCCUCACCCGUGCUCGUGCCCUGGGCGCUGGAGCCGACAAGCUGGCCCGAGGGGUUGUAGACCUCCAGGUCGA